rnacentral:rRNA from 1 species
ACUCAAAGGAAUAGACGGGGGCCCGCACAAGCAGUGGAGUAUGUGGUUUAAUUCGAAGCAACGCGAAGAACCUUACCAGGGCUUGACAUGGAGACGACCGCCUAAGAGAUUAGGCUUUCUUCGGACGUCUCACACAGGUGGUGCAUGGUUGUCGUCAGCUCGUGUCGUGAGAUGUUGGGUUAAGUCCCGCAACGAGCGCAACCCUUAUUGUUAGUUGCCAUCAUUCAGUUGGGCACUCUAGCAAGACUGCCGGUGACAAAUCGGAGGAAGGUGGGGACGACGUCAAAUCAUCAUGCCCCUUAUGUCCUGGGCUACACACGUACUACAAUGGUCGUGACAACAGGAAGCGAAGCCGCGAGGUGGAGCAAAUCCCCAAACACGAUCUCAGUUCAGAUUGCAGGCUGAAACUCGCCUGCAUGAAGUCGGAAUUGCUAGUAAUCGCAGAUCAGCAUGCUGCGGUGAAUACGUUCCCGGGCCUUGUACACACCGCCCGU